rnacentral:rRNA from 1 species
GGAAGUAAAAGUCGUAACAAGGUUUCCGUAGGUGAACCUGCGGAAGGAUCAUUACCGAGUUGAUUCGGGCUCCGGCCCGAUCCUCCCACCCUUUGUGUACCUACCUCUGUUGCUUUGGCGGGCCGCGGUCCUCCGCGGCCGCCCCCCUCCCCGGGGGGGUGGCCAGCGCCCGCCAGAGGACCAUCAAACUCCAGUCAGUAAACGAUGCAGUCUGAAAAACAUUUAAUAAACUAAAACUUUCAACAACGGAUCUCUUGGUUCUGGCAUCGAUGAAGAACGCAGCGAAAUGCGAUAAGUAAUGUGAAUUGCAGAAUUCAGUGAAUCAUCGAAUCUUUGAACGCACAUUGCGCCCUUUGGUAUUCCGAAGGGCAUGCCUGUUCGAGCGUCAUUACAACCCUCAAGCUCUGCUUGGUAUUGGGCACCGUCCUUUGCGGGCGCGCCUCAAAGACCUCGGCGGUGGCGUCUUGCCUCAAGCGUAGUAGAACAUACAUCUCGCUUCGGAGCGCAGGGCGUCGCCCGCCGGACGAACCUUCUGAACUUUUCUCAAGGUUGACCUCGGAUCAGGUAGGGAUACCCGCUGAACUUAAGCAUAUCAAUAAGCGGAGGAA